AGAGCGAACGCUGGCGGCGUGCUUAACACAUGCAAGUCGAGUGCGCAGUUUUCUGUAGCAAUACAGGAAACCGGCGCACGGCGCACGGGUGCGUAACACGUGGAUAACCUGCCCUCCAAAGGGGGAUAACCCCGCGAAAGCGGGGCUAAUACCGCAUGACAUUCCGAGAACCUCGGUUUUUGGAAUCAAAGCCCGCAAGGGCGUUGGGGGAGGGGUCCGCGGCCGAUUAGCUUGUUGGCGAGGUAAUGGCUCACCAAGGCAAUGAUCGGUAGCCGGUCUGAGAGGAUGGCCGGCCACACUGGAACUGAGACACGGUCCAGACUCCUACGGGAGGCAGCAGUGGGGAAUAUUGCGCAAUGGGCGAAAGCCUGACGCAGCGACGCCGCGUGGGGGAUGAAGCUUCUCGGAGUGUAAACCCUUUCGACCCGGACGAAACGCCCGCAAGGGCUUGGACGGUACGGGUAUAAGAAGCCCGGCUAACUACGCGCCAGCAGCCGCGGU
rnacentral:rRNA from 1 species